rfam:Macaca mulatta chromosome X, whole genome shotgun sequence.
AUGUGGUAGAUAUAUGCACGAUAUAUGUAUGUAUGUAUGUAUGUAUAUAUGUAUAAAAGCAGAGCAGUAUAUAUAUCGUGCAUAUAUCUACCACAU